GACAGAGGUUGCAAACGUUGUUCGGAAUUACUGGGCAUAAAGCGCACGUAGGCGGUCCGCUAAGUCAGGUGUGAAAUCCCCCGGCUCAACCGGGGAAUUGCGUCUGAUACUGGCGGGCUCGAGAUCGGUAGGGGUGAGCGGAACUCCAGGUGGAGCGGUGAAAUGCGUAGAUAUCUGGAGGAACACCGGUGGCGAAAGCGGCUCACUGGAUCGACACUGACGCUGAGGUGCGAAAGCUAUGGUAGCAAACGGG
rnacentral:rRNA from 1 species